rnacentral:misc_RNA from 1 species
GAUGAAGAACGCAGCGAAAUGCGAUAAGUAAUGUGAAUUGCAGAAUUCAGUGAAUCAUCGAGUCUUUGAACGCACAUUGCGCCCCCUGGUAUUCCGGGGGGCAUGCCUGUCCGAGCGUCAUUGCUGCCCUCAAGCCCGGCUUGUGUGUUGGGCCCCGUCCUCCGAUUCCGGGGGACGGGCCCGAAAGGCAGCGGCGGCACCGCGUCCGGUCCUCGAGCGUAUGGGGCUUUGUCACCCGCUCUGUAGGCCCGGCCGGCGCUUGCCGAUCAACCCAAAUUUUUAUCCAGGUUGACCUCGGAUCAGGUAGGGAUACCCGCUGAACUUAAGCAUAUCAAUAAGCGGAGGA